rnacentral:rRNA from 1 species
GAAUUCGCCCUUGAGUUUGAUCCUGGCUCACUUUGAACGCUAGCGACAGGCUUAACACAUGCAAGUCGAGGGGCAGCACGGGUAGCAAUACCGGGUGGCGACCGGCGCACGGGUGAGUAACGCGUAUGCAACUUGCCUAUCAGAGGGGGAUAACCCGGCGAAAGUCGGACUAAUACCGCAUGAAGCAGGGGCCCCGCAUGGGGAUAUUUGCUAAAGAUUCAUCGCUGAUAGAUAGGCAUGCGUUCCAUUAGGCAGUUGGCGGGGUAACGGCCCACCAAACCGACGAUGGAUAGGGGUUCUGAGAGGAAGGUCCCCCACAUUGGUACUGAGACACGGACCAAACUCCUACGGGAGGCAGCAGUGAGGAAUAUUGGUCAAUGGGCGUAAGCCUGAACCAGCCAAGUCGCGUGAGGGAUGAAGGUUCUAUGGAUCGUAAACCUCUUUUAUAAGGGAAUAAAGUGCGGGACGUGUCCCGUUUUGUAUGUACCUUAUGAAUAAGGAUCGGCUAACUCCGUGCCAGCAGCCGCGGUAAUACGGAGGAUCCGAGCGUUAUCCGGAUUUAUUGGGUUUAAGGGUGCGUAGGCGGCCUUUUAAGUCAGCGGUGAAAGUCUGUGGCUCAACCAUAGAAUUGCCGUUGAAACUGGGGGGCUUGAGUAUGUUUGAGGCAGGCGGAAUGCGUGGUGUAGCGGUGAAAUGCUUAGAUAUCACGCAGAACCCCGAUUGCGAAGGCAGCCUGCCAAGCCAUGACUGACGCUGAUGCACGAAAGCGUGGGGAUCAAACAGGAUUAGAUACCCUGGUAGUCCACGCAGUAAACGAUGAUCACUAGCUGUUUGCGAUACACUGUAAGCGGCACAGCGAAAGCGUUAAGUGAUCCACCUGGGGAGUACGCCGGCAACGGUGAAACUCAAAGGAAUUGACGGGGGCCCGCACAAGCGGAGGAACAUGUGGUUUAAUUCGAUGAUACGCGAGGAACCUUACCCGGGUUUGAACGCAUUUCGACCGCUCUGGAAACAGAGCCUCUAGCAAUAGCGAUUUGCGAGGUGCUGCAUGGUUGUCGUCAGCUCGUGCCGUGAGGUGUCGGCUUAAGUGCCAUAACGAGCGCAACCCUUGCCACUAGUUACUAACAGGUAAAGCUGAGGACUCUGGUGGGACUGCCAGCGUAAGCUGCGAGGAAGGCGGGGAUGACGUCAAAUCAGCACGGCCCUUACAUCCGGGGCGACACACGUGUUACAAUGGCGUGGACAAAGGGAAGCCACCUGGCGACAGGGAGCGAAUCCCCAAACCACGUCUCAGUUCGGAUCGGAGUCUGCAACCCGACUCCGUGAAGCUGGAUUCGCUAGUAAUCGCGCAUCAGCCAUGGCGCGGUGGAUACGUUCCCGGGCCUUGUACACACCGCCCGUCAAGCCAUGGGAGCCGGGGGUACCUGAAGUCCGUAACCGCGAGGAUCGGCCUAGGGUAAAACUGGUGACUGGGGCUAAGUCGUAACAAGGUAGCCGUAAG